GAUCCUGGCUCAGGAUGAACGCUAGCUACAGGCUUAACACAUGCAAGUCGAGGGGCAGCGGGAUUGAAGCUUGCUUCAAUUGCCGGCGACCGGCGCACGGGUGAGUAACGUGUAUCCAACCUUCCGUACACUCAGGGAUAGGCCUUUCGAAAGAAAGAUUAAUACCUGAUGGUAUCUUAAGCACACAUGUAAUUAAGAUUAAAGAUUUAUCGGUGUACGAUGGGGAUGCGUUCCAUUAGGUAGUAGGG
rnacentral:rRNA from 1 species